CCAAUAGCGUAUAUUAAAGUUGUUGCAGUUAAAAAGCUCGUAGUUGAAUUUCGGGAUCAAAUUGUCGGUCGUGCCUCGGUACGUACUGGCGUUAUUGGUUCCUCCCUUCUGAAGAACCGCGAUGUCAUUAAUUUGGUGUCGCGGGGAAUCAGGACUGUUACUUUGAAAAAAUUAGAGUGUUUAAAGCAGGCUCGCGCUUGAAUACAUUAGCAUGGAAUAAUGAAAUAGGACGUUUGAUUCUAUUUUGUUGGUUUCUAGGAUCGACGUAAUGAUUAAUAGGGAUAGUUGGGGGCAUUAGUAUUCAAUUGUCAGAGGUGAAAUUCUUGGAUUUAUUGAAGACUAACUACUGCGAAAGCAUUUGCCAAGGAUGUUUUCAUUAAUCAAGAACGAAAGUUAGGGGAUCGAAGACGAUCAGAUACCGUCGUAGUCUUAACCAUAAACUAUGCCGACUAGGGAUCGGAUGAUGUUAAUUUUUUAAUGACUCAUUCGGCGCCUUGCG
rnacentral:rRNA from 1 species